UAUAUAUAUAUAUAUAUAUAUAUAUAUAUAUAUAUAUAUAUAUAUAUAUAUAUACACACACAUAUACGAGUGAAUUGAUUUUGAUUGUUACCACAGGUUCAAAGAAACAAGCUCUAUUUCCAGCACUAAUUCAUUCAACAGCGCUCAUUAGCUGCAUGCAGCCACUUCUUCCACUCCUAUGCCGUUAAUAUAGUCUCUUUACCAAUGCAGGGGUGGGUGCUUUUUCCCAUUUGUGGUUCUCAGAACACUAAAGAUUUAUGAGUCAUACAUACUACAUAAUAUAGGUCAAAUGUAUGUCAACGUACUGUAUACUUUAGAUGUGUGUUUAAAGUGUGGUGGUCAUGUAUGGGGAAGGGGAAAUGGAAUACAAAGAGGAAAUGACUGAGGAGUUGACCUUUAGGCAAGUGACUAUCAAAAUAGAGAGUGAGAUGAGGAAGGAAAGAAAAAAAGUAAUUACAACGGAGUGUAUGAAGCAAAGGAACAUAUUUGAGCUCUGGCAGGGAAGAUCUCACUGUCACUAAAAGAAUAACAAACUUAAUCAAAAAGCUUUGACAACCAUAAAUAACCAUCAAUGUCAGCAUCAAGGUCAGGGUGAUCAUAUGGUUCUCAAUCUUUUAUUCAUUAAACAAAGGAAAAGUGAACACUGCAUCCAUCCAGUUUAGAUCAAAAGACAGAGCAAUGAGAGUUUCACCUGCUUAGGAGCUGCAGAGGUAUUUUCCUUCCAGGUAUAUUUUAGGAUGUCAACAUUCCAGAUUGAUAUGCAUCCAAAAAUGCUGAAGCCACUUGUUAUAAAUGUGUUAUCAAUAUGUGCUAUCAAAAAUGAGAGCAAAGACACCUGGCACUGUGGAGCUUCGAGAAGGGUUGGUGUUGUCCAGUAUUUUUUCAGCCAGAAAAUGAAAGUGUUCAGUUCAGACACACAAAUGUUGCGCUUGCAUAAAUUAAUCAAAGACGACUGGACUGGUAGCCUCAUCAAGGAUCUCUGCACAGUCUCUAUAACCUUCUACUAAAUGACAGUGUACUUGUGCAUUAAGAAGUUUUGAAUGAGGAGAUUUGUGAUGAUAUAGUUACGGUUUUAUCACUGAAUUUCACCCUUUCUUUUCUUUUGGUUUAAACCUUUAACUCUUACCUUACAAAAGCUAUUACCAUUAAAGGGAUAUUUCGGUGUAAAAUCAAGUUAGGGUCAAGCACACUGUAACACCAAGUUAGAUGAAUGUUGCCAACUGCUUGCUCCUCUAGUUAUACCAACUUCAGCAACGACUGCACGAUUGCAAUACACAGCGGUUUACGUCUUAACGUCUUGUGGGGGAGCCUUGACAAAGUCGAUCUCUGAGUGUGGCAGCUUAUUUCAUGACGUAAUAAUCAUCAUAAUAAUCAUUUUGCACUGCAGACGCGGUAGUUCUUCUGCUUUAGGAUCUCCGCCUGAUUGCAUUUCCAUUAAGUAAUAAUCAUAAAUGUUUUUCCUUGAGCUGCAAAACUCUGCUGCACUCGGUGCUCGACUCAUCAGGGCUCUCCCACAAACAAGCAGCUGCUGGAGGAGAGUGGGUGAGCUGUGUUUGGUCCCUUUGCUAAAGAAACCAGGCAAAGCUAGAAAGAUGUUUCAUGGCUAGUACUGUGGCUGGUAUCCUAUAUGUACUGUUGAUGAAGUUAGGUGCUGGUAUUGUUAUCGUGCGGUCUUGCUAAAGUUGGUAUAAAGAGAGAAUCAAGCGGUCGGCAACAUUCAUCUCUCAGGGGGGUGUCUAACUCGGUGUUACAGUGUGUUUGACCCUAACUUAAUUUUACGCUGGAAUAUCCCUUUAAGCUCUGUACUGAAAAGAUAAACUCUUGGAAAAGCUACAGCUGUGGUCAUUGCGUACUUGCUUUAUUUUCCUAUCUUUUCUUACCGUUGAUCACUUUUGCCAUAACUGUGGAGAUAGUUUGCCACUUACUGUGAGCAAAGGCAUCAGAAGGAGAGAUUCAUUUCUGGAAUAAAAAUUCCAGCUCCCAUAAAACCAGGCUGCUGCUGGCUGCACUAAACCUGCCCAACACUGGAUGAGAAAUGCAAUUCCUCUUUGCAAUACCCUGUCUGACAUGACCUGCAUCUGAGUCAAUUUUACCUCCCACCAACCAAUUCAGUGCCACGGCUGCCUGCAUGUCGAUCCGUCUGUCUGCUUGUCGUAUCGCAUCUAAUCUUCAUCUCUCCAAGUGUCACCACCCUCCAAGCCUAGAUAUCUGUCCUCGUUUUGACUGUUUUUGAUAUUUGAUAAACCAUUUCAACCGAGCUUGUUGGAAACAGUCGCCUUAAAUCUUUUUCUAAAGGUGGACAUAAAGCCCAAACUAACUUUAUUUCCGUCUACCUGUUUCUUCCUUGGCUCUGUCAAAACGUCAACACUAUUCAUACUUUUUUUCCCUCAGCCCAGAGCCACACUGGGCAGGUAUUCCAGAAAAAGAGCUCCUCACUGUUGUUUUAUUUACCCCUUUUUUCUCUCUUGUACAUCAUACUCCUUUUUGCAUGUUGGUUAAUCCAUUAUUGACGGUAAAGAUUUCUGUGCAUGUUCUCAACCUGUCAGAGGGAUUCAGGUGUAAUGGGAGAGGAUAUGGACCUAAUGGCCAAGCUGCAUAAAAAAACAGACAGCUACCUUUAGAAAAGAAGGAGAGGAUGCUGCAGGAGAAUGCCAAAAGAAGAAAAAGAAGAAGAGAAAAGAACGAAAGAAAUGAACAAAGAAAGGAGAUGGGAGGGAAUAAGGAGGCAGGGUCAAUAACAGUAAAAGAUGGGCGACACAGACAGACAGAGGAAGAAGAAAGUCGUGGUGAAGCACAAAAGAGGACAGGAGAGUAGAAAGCAUUCCCGGCGGUGCGAACAUGUCAAGGCUUAGCUGGGCGCAGACACUCCCAUACACCAACACACACAUACACAGACACACACAAAGCUGUUCUUCCUAACGAGUGAAAACCCUCGGAGCAGAAAAACUGUGACGUCUCUGGUGGCAGGUUGCAAAAAGCUUUCUCUCUUGUCUCAGCCUCCAGCUUGUACCUGACUGCUUAGCCCUUUUCUUCUGAUGGCUGUACGUACAGCAUGGUCCGACCAUCCAUCCAUCCAUCUGUCCAUCCAUCCAUCAAUUCAUACAUAAUCCUAAACACAUUUCCAUAUUUCCACCCCCGUUGUAAUCAGCCAAUGCAUCCAUAAAAGCCUCCCUCCAAAUUUCCAUCUAAAUAUCCAUUAAAAAAAAUCCUGAAUGCUGAUGCGAUUUUAUUCCUGAUUCAGUGCAAGAUUGAAAUCAGUAUUGGAUUUUGUAAACAGUCAACACUUCCUCUGGCUCUACUCUGCAAGUCAAAGUUUCACUUGAGCAUCACUUUUGGGGGGAUAAAAUAGAAGAGUAGAGGACUGAAUAUUCAAGUAGGGAUGAGAAGGGGAAAUAGAAAGAGAAUAAGGAUGAGGGGAAAAAAAGACAGAGAAACUUAAAGAGGAAAGAAGGUUUAAAAACAGACAGAACUGGCAGAGUUUAAAGCUGAAUCCCCGUUCCAUACAUAGUAAUCCAAAGCAGGAUUUACACAAAGCAUGUGGUGUGUUCAAUCUCAAAAAAGGAAAAAAGAAAUGACUGGAGUAAGCAUACUAAAAGAAACAGACAGACAACUGCUGUAAAGAAUAACCAGCAAUUAAGAUAGUGAUGUGAAACCUGUUUGUUAGUUUGAUUUGGAUGAAACCUUCAAAGCACAGUGGUGUAAAUUACCACAGUGACACUUGUGCUUCACAUUUGAGAGGUGUGAUAGCCAGUUUGCAUGUAAAAUGAAUUUGGGUUAUACCUGUCUGUGAGAGCAAGACAAAACAUUUUAUUGUGUGUCUUGACAUCCCAAAAGUUUCUGAGUACAGUUCACUCUUUGAUUUUAUUUUAUUAAUAGAAAGUCUCUUGCUGGCACUGAAUUUCCUCUUCUUGGCUUCUUCCAUUAACGCUGUCCUUGCUCUGUUUGGCCCCUUUUACACAGCCUGUUUGAGGAAGGACAGUAAUGCCUCAGCUGCUGUCUGUGUAAAGCUCCUGAGGCAAAAUGCCUGAAAACACUGUUCUACCAUUAACAAGUGUCAAAGGUAAUAAAAUGAGGAUAUAUUAAUAGUGAGCAAAUGACUGGGCAGGACUGCAUAGUGGUCUGCUAGCAUGUUGUGUCACUUUGUUUUUUCCAACAUCACUGAGUAACUGCAAACUGGAACAGCAGGGGCACAAAGGCAGUAUUUUGUGGUAUAACACAGAGUUUGAAACAUGUUGGUCACUUGCGUUUGGAUUAAGACCCCAGCCAACAUAAGUGGUACUUAGAGUCAGGAGAUACAGACACAGCUAACAUCAAUACUCUUCUUGACAAAGGUUCAGGGGUGCGCUAUGUUUCCUCAAAUUUUAGGGCUGUUUAUUGGGCACUGUUGCCUGUUGUAGCCUGACCCAUCAGUUAGCUAGCAGGGAGGGCUGCAACUGCUGUCAGUCUGUGUCAAAUAUACCUCAGACAGUCCUGUGACAGAGUUUUGAUCUGACCGCUGGUGUUUUGCACAGUCAGUGUACCCUUUUUUGACAGUGCAGAAAACAUGGUGUGGUGUGGCUGGUUAGUUGUGUGGACCCAGAAGCAGACACGGAAACAGAGAUAAACUUAAAGUGUAAUUUAAUGUCCAAACAAGGUUGAAAAUGCAAACAGAGGAGGUCCGGUAGGCUGGUUGGCUGGCUGUCAUGUGGGCUGAAGACACUGCAGGAAAAACCAGAGGAAAAGGAAGUUAGUGAACAUGUAAAGGAUCACGAGGAGCAAAGUUCUGAUACUGAUACCAACGAGGUAGGCCAGGAGAUGCAUCUUUACCACUUGUAAGGGUAGACAAUACUCAGACCCUGAGGCUGAGGGCUGCAGGCUUCUUAAAGUGCCUUGAUUGGAGAUGUGGAGCAGGUGUGUGGUCUCACUCAGCCUCAGCGCCGGGGGAGGGGAGGAAGCUCUGGAAAAGAGUGAAGCCAGACCAGGCAAACAAGGAAACACAGGAAGACCAGCCAAAAUAAAACAAGAUGAGGAGGCGUCUCACCACACAUGGGAGAGAGAGCAGGGAAUGAUGUGCAGAGAACAGGCCACAGGGUGGAAUCGAACCUUGGCCACUUGCAUAUCGUUGCUGUCCAAUGAAAAAAACAUAUCUCCACUUUUAGUGAGCUGGACUUUUUUUAAUACAUGUACUUCCCUGACAACCCAUAGCUUUAGGUAUCCAAAUGACCUAUGGAAAGACAUAUUAUAACAUCCUCUUUUCAACAAGUAUCUCCAUUGGGUGUCUAAGUGUCAACAAAGCAUGUAUCUCCUGCCCUGAUCCUGCGUUGUCAUGUCAGCAAACAGCUUUUAUACUGUGACAGACUCAUUAAAGUCCAAGGUUUUGCCAUACUCAUGUCCUCACAUCGACUGAUGCUGACCAGUUAUUUCAGUUAUUUUUUCAGUAUACCUGCAUCAGUCACGGACACUAGUGCAUGUUAAACUGGGAGUCACGAUCAUAGACUGUAUAUACUAUGGACAACCUGGUUCCGCCUUCCGCCUGUAUAUGGAUUUGAAGUCAAAUAGCGCUCGGUAUUUCCAGGAUUUUUCUUUAUUUCCUGAGACCAGCGCUGCACAGUAGCGAUGCGUGCAUUCGACCACGCAGUCGCAGAGAGUCGCUGUGAUGACGCUCGGCUCAAACAGCGUAUCCACCGGGAGAGUUACUCAAUCCCUGAACACCCAUAGGCUGUAUCAGGUGUAAAAACGGAGCUUCACAGAAAAAAGAGGACUUGAGCACAAACCAAUCUUACAAUAACUACAUGUCAACAAUGCAAGCAGGGGCGAGAAAAAUUUAUGUUCUGUGUAAUAAAUUUCUAAAGUUUGUCCACAGCUCUAUCAGCUUUGCUGGCGGAGGCGGGAUUUAUGACCUAUACUGCAGCCCACCAUCAGAGGGUGCUGUUCUCGGAGUGGCUUCACCCAGCAGGGAGGUAGACUUUGUCCAUUCUAUAUACAGUCUAUGGUCAAGACUAAAGAAGGUUGACAUCCAAUGAGCUAUGUGGAAAUGUCGGACAGCCCACUAUCAAUAGUCUAUCAACAUAGUGGGACAUAAACAGGAUACCCAAAGCUUGUAAAUAACAGAACGUCAAUGGAGCACAUUAUUUAAAAAAAAACAUGUGUGCCCACUGUCACUCACAAUGCAAAGCAUGUCAGUCUGUUUAAAAAAUCAAACUGUGUAAUUAUAGAUUUUGAUUUCAGAUCCUAAUUGUGUCUUAUUACAGUGUUUUGGGUUUAUUCUGUAAGGUAGUUUAUGAAUAUAUUUAUACAUAUAUUUUUUAUGUUCCUGAAAAAAACAAAGUUUGGAGAUACGUGUUUUUUAUUGGACAGCAAUGAUAUGUGGGAUUUACCUAGGCCUCAAUGCAACCAGUAUCCCCCCCCACGCAAAGUCCAUGUACUUUAAUGAUACCCUACACUGUCUCAUUGGUUUCAUAAUUGCUUAAAAAAAUAUAUGUCUGCCAGUAUCAGCUUUCAUUUCAUAUUUUGUGUUUUGAACCAUAAAAGAGAUGCAGAAGUAACUACUCUGCUCAUCCAUCAACCCAUUCUCUCCUGUCUUACCCCAUCCUCUACCUCCUCCUCGCUCAUUUUCACCUCACCAUGUCCUCUGUAACACCUGAAAAAACUGAGACGACUGACAAAUCCCCUGACAGAGAGAGGCAGAAAAAAUUAGGCGCUCUGAAUAAGUCUCAGCAGGCUAACUCUCAGAACACCAUUAAACCCCCUACUUAAGCUGUAUUUAUGGGUAAUGCCUCUACAGUGAGCCCCCCUCUGUUUCUAUGGCAGUGUGUCCUCAGGGUGGGAUGGUGACACACACUGACCUAAGUUAAGAGAGAAGAGCAAAGAAAGGAAAUGCAGAGUAUUACCAAAUGUUCCUCACACACCAUGUUUCAAAUUUGGAGGUUGUGUGACUCUUAUUUUUAGAGAGCAUUUGCUUCUAAAAUAUAGAAUCCUGUCUCAUCCGAGGUUGUCUCACUGAAGUGCAUUUCAGAGUUCCUGUGCUUGCACGGAGCUCAACCUGCCCACCGGGAGGUUAAAAGCGUUGGAGUUACUCACAGUUCAGCUGGUUUUUGGCUUUGUCCAACCUGCUGCAGUGUCUUACACAGAGACUACACUUAAGGGAGGAUUACUAAUGCUGCGUUCCAUUUGUACUUGGAAGUUGAAUUUUCCGAGUUCUCAAUCGAAAAUUCAUCUGGAACGCCUCCCUGAAGUCGGAUUUCAAACUCGGAAAGUCGGACAAUCCUAGCCAACAUGGACUUAUUAUUAUUAUUAUUAUUAUUAUUAUUAUUAUUAUAAUUAUUAUUGUUAUUAUAUUGUUAUUAUUAAUACUAUUAAUAGCACUUCUGUUUCGUUUUUGUGAAAUAGAUUUAGUGUGGACAUGGUACUAUGAUAAUGUAUGAGUUAUAUACCGUAUUAUGUGCUGUUUUUAACUGGUAAAGCUAACAACAGCUAAAGCAGCUAAAAGCAGCUAACAAUGAAUAAACAUUCUAACAGCAAGCACUUAUCUUGUUUUUCAGACUUGUUUACCAGAACACCAUUAACUCGGGUGUAACGUCAUUCCCAGCUCCAACAUCCGACUUCCGAGGUAACUGGAAUGCAGCAUAUGGACCACAACGGACAUAUUAAAAAAAAAAAAAAAAAAGAAAAAAAACAUGUGCUUUGGUUUUUAACAACUGUUAUCUGUAAUUUAUCAUUACAGUGAGGUGUAAAUCUAUGAAUGCUGUGAUUUAAAUAUCUGGUCCAGGCAAACAUCUGUGGGACAGCUGUGACAGUGUGCCCUAAACCAAAACAAUGCCCAUGGCUUAUUAUACAUUUCACAAAAUAAAAGGUUAUAAACAGUCAAAGGUGACACUGUCAAUGUCUGUGAAUUUCAAUAAGAUUAUUUUCUAUACUCUGAAGAACAAACAGAUGCUUUAGCCUUAAGCUCUCAUCAAUGAAAUGUCAGCCUGUGUGCUGAAAGCUUGACACUGAAACAUUAUUUGUAAUGUGCUCGCAAAACAGGGAGCGCAGGGAGAGAGGUGACACAUCAAUUGUAAACCAUAGCUGCAAGGUGUAGUAUCCCUCGCUGAUUACAUUUGCGGCAAUCCGGCUAAAGCCUUUCAGAUAGAUGAUUUCAAUUACUUUGUGUAUACCAUGUUUAAGUUCACAGCAGUAAUCUUUUCUUUUUUUUUUAAUAACACGUCAGAUGUCAAAUAGAAUUUGCAAAACUGCUGCUGGCAAACAACACACAACCUUUGCUCAAGAAAGCUUUGUGCACUUUUCUCGAUCGUUGUUGUUUGACUGAAGUGAUAUAAUGAUGUGAAAUAAAAGCAGGGAUGUGGGUGUUUAAAAUAACAACUUAGACAUUAGCCAAUUCUGUCUUUUUGUACUAUAAUUCUACAUGUUUAAAUGAGCAAUAAGAGUUGGUGGAAAGUUAGUUUAACUUAAGGUUUAAAUUGUGUGUGCAAAUUGUGGGUAGUUUAGCACUACCCCAGACUCGCUGAUUAAUGUCCGUAACUUCAAAACCAAAUGGCUGUUUCGUAUCUCAGUUUGGAAACAGACUCACGUCACAAAAUCGCUAUAAGACCAGUAGCCCGAGUGAUAUGAGGGCUGCCAAGCCAGCUAUCUGAACUGGUGAGAGCACUGCUGUUGUUUUCACUCAUUGUUUUCUUUGUUAGGGAAAUAAAAUUUUCCAUGCACACAGGGUCAUUGCUGUUUUUUUUUUUUAUUUUGAAUAUCCAAUAAAGGUCCCACAUUACCCCCCUUUCAGCAGGUUCCUAUAGGUCUCUGAGGUCCCAGAACAGUCAAUUUGAAGUUUGUUGUCUAAAACCCCAAUUUUUCUCCUGGACUUCAGCCAGCCCGAAAACUUUCUCUAGUGAGCUCUACCGAGAACACGCUGUUUCUGUGUGCAGCGCCUGUCCACGCCUCCUUCAGCGCAAGCCACGCCCUUCCCUGUCUCUCUGGCUUGCGUUACAGUACCAUUCACUAAUGUACACACAGAGUGCUAGGUAUGGCUCAUAGAAGUGCUGAGGUCCAGCCAUACCAGUUUGAGCCAGAGUCUGACCCAGAAGGAGAGGUUCCUGAAGAAAUUCCAAAUUCCAUGGAAGGCAAAAGUACUAAUCUGCCUGUUUGAGCAGACAUUUUCUGAAAAAUGAAAUAAGCAAGAGAGGGAGAGGAUAGAAUUUUCUCAUGUUGGGGGGUUGUAGACAGGGUGGAGAUGCAUAUUAUUGUUAGAAAAUCAUUAUGAAUUGAAUUUUGCAUAGUAUGAGACCUUUAACUGCCCCAGAGCAGUUUUUUUUUUUUUUAAGUCAGCGACUUAGACCCAGUGCAUUCAAAUACUGUGCCAACUGAAUGAUAAGGGGCUCAGGCAGCUACGUAAAUUUGAGGGUUCGCAGCCGUGCAUUUGCAGUCACAGCAGGAAUAGAAAGAGUUUUGCCAUUUUGUAGAGACAGUCAGAUAUUCGUGAAUUGGAAUGUAACUAGCAAACAGACACACAAAAGUGACUGUAAAGAGCAGCAGAUGUUGACAUAUGAAAUAUAUAUAAUUAUGAGUAAUGAUGUGUUAAUUUGACCCUGUGCAGGAUGUAUACUGUAAUCAUUCUGGUUUGUCAGACGUUAGCAUUUAGAGUUGAGCUGGAAUUAAUGUCCCUCAUGUAAUAAUUUAAAACAGAUAUAUGCACACAUACAACCAGUGUUGCCUGCUGCAGGAGUGAUGCAUACUGUAAUAUUUAAAUAUCAUAACAGACACACGCUGAUGCACAGAAGCCUACUCAAUUAAUCAUGGUGUCCUUUGGCCCUAUGUACUCAAUGCUAACAUAAUGGACCUGAGUGAUAAACCACUUCCAUUUCCUCUCUAAGCCUGUUUAGUGAAGUCUGAGAAAGAGAAGAUGGAGCGGCAGGAGGAAGGAAAAAAAGAGAGAUCGUGAUUGAGUGAGAAAAGAAGGAAGAGAACAGGCAGAGAAUAGGAGAUCAGGAGAGGUGAGACACCAAGGAGAAGCAUGUUUAUAUUGCUGAGAGCAGAAGGGAUAUUAGAUACAAAUUAUUCAUGUGCUUACGCCACUCCACAUCUCAUGAGAAACGUCCAUUUGUACCUUGAAGACAACAUCAAGACAGAAACCUAAAAGAAGGGCAAAGGAUACAGAAAAGCAGAUCAGAAACAAAAGUAAAAUACAAAAAUACCACAAAAUAUUAUGCAGCUUUGCAUGACAAUGUAUACAUGUCAGUGCUGCUUAACUGUGGUGCCAUAAAAUUACUCUUAAAAUCAAACACAGUGCAAUAUAUCCUAAAAUUUGAUGGCUUUGUUAGCAUAUGGGAUGAAUGGGGUAAAAAAUUUAACAACAGCCUCAACAAGAUUCAAAAUAAAAUUGUAUUAAUCUGCCUUCUUGGAAAAAAAAAAAAAAAAAACUCCUGUCUGGGUGGUUUAGUUUCAGACAAUGAGUUUUAAUAGUAGUUGUCAGUAGAUUCCCACCCGUCACACUGUAAUGUUGAGUACUUUAAUUCCUCUGACUGACUUUUGUUACUAUUACAUAGUCAUUAAGAGCUCCACUGUGAGCACAUUGUCAAUCACAUUGUAAUGUACGUUAUUCAUACUUUCCAUAGCAACUACAAGUUAACAUGGAACUUUAUAUAGCUGAAUAAGCCGUAAAAAAAAAAAAAAAAAGAAAAAAACAUGACACAGACUCAGAGCAGUGUUAAUGUUAAAGGGAUGUUCAGGCGUAAAUUAAAGUAGGGGUCAAACACACUGAAAGUUCCCCACAAGCUAACGCAACAAACAUUUCCUUCUGAUUGAACCACAAAAAUGCCAAUCAAGCUGACAGACAUUUCAGUCUGGCCAACCAUAGCCCAAAGCUCACUGUCCGUACCUGCCCAUCUAUACAGCGAUUGGAUGAAUCUGUAGUUGAUUCAUUUUGCCAAUGUGAGGCCCCUCAGACAAGGGGCUGAUCCAGGUAAUCUCCACCUAUUGGCUGAGAUACAUGCCUGCGCAGCCUUGCAGCGCAAAGCUAACUAGCUAUGGCGAUGCUAAAUGCUAACGCACAGGACCAUACAGACAAUGGACGGGAGGCACAGAGCAGCGAGUCGAGUCACGUAUUUUGUUGUAGUAACCAUGACUACCGCCACAGCCAUCUUGAAAAAAGCCGGACGGCUGUUGGUGUUUAUGACACCUGAGUUAUGUCCCAUAUGUCCAAGAUCAUAAUUUUAUGAACUAUAUCAAAGUCACAACAACAAGCAGCAGAUUUCAGAGGAAUCAAGAAUUGCUCUGCAGAAUCAGCAUUGUUCUCCACGGAAUCAAAACUUUUUCUCUGCAGAUUCCUGAAGGGUCUAACUACAUAUCAAAACAGCUGGCAAACUGACUGUAUGUUGAACAAUGGAGGCUGUCACUGAUACAGCUAUAUGUUGUUUAUUUGCACGGGAGGAAAGUUUUGUCUUGCUUGAUGGACUCAGGUGAUUUGGACUAUGCAGCAGGGGUGGCUCAAAGGGUGGCCAAUAUGGUCUGAACUCCAGCUAAAGUCUAAUUGUCCACUCCAGGUUUCAUCCUGAAACCCUGAACAAAUUAUUAAGGUUGAGCUAGAUAAGAUAAGAUAUUCCUUUAAUAGUCCCACAGGGGGUAAUUCCAAAGAAAGCGGGCUGCCUGGAGAUUUUUUUUUUUUUUUUUUUUCACAAAAUAUGACACAUCGAGUGUCACAUUAUUAAAAGCCAGUAAGAGUAUUUAAAACUGUGAUUUAUCACAGCCUCUGCUGUGAUUAGACAUGAUUUUAUCUUUAAGUGAUGACAGUACUUGUUGACAGCUAAGAGGGGUGACAAACUGAGCUUGUUGCAGCUUAAUUUUAAACACCUAUGACAAACUUCACUUUUCGUAUAUUUUAACAACUUUUUUUGGCAGACUUUAAUUGCAUGGAACUUACUGUAAAUAUAACUUUACACAACCUCCAGAGCAACAUUACUCUUUUCAAGUGUUUCUAGACAGGCUAUAGCAGCGAGGAAAAACUUUUUAAGUUCAAAAUUUGGUUUCUUUAGAAGUUAUAUGACCAAGAAAGUCAAUGCAUAUUUGAAAGGAUUCUGAUUUGAAUAAAUGAGUUUUGGACUCAUGAACAGCAGAUACUUUAUAGGAUUAAAAUAGGAUACAAAUAUUCAGACCCCAACACAAGAUUAAACAAUUCCCAAGAGUUUUCAGCUCCUGCUAUGUUUGAAAAAGGAUACAUAAAUGGAAAAAAGAUUCUUCUCCAACACAGCCCUUAUUUUAGAGUUCUGUAAAACCACAUAGUUAAAUCAAGCUGCCUCAGGAACUUGUAUAUUCGAUUUAAAAGAAGAUUAGAUGCUGUAAUGUUGUUUUCUAAAGAAGUAGUAUCUUUUCCAGUAAGUUUUUGUCUGUAUCUUUUUACACACAGACAGUAUGGAAGCAAUGCUUCCUUGAGAGAGGACACAAAGCUGGAUUUUUUUACGCUGCAAGCUGACAGAUCAGGCUUUGGAUUUGCUUCCUCUCAACUGAAACAUUGACCCCACUGUCACACUUACAGCAGUUCAGAGAAGGUAAAUUUUGGCUAGGUGACAGGUACACACUUGCUUGAUUCACAGUUAUAGAAGUGGAACUGUUUUAAUGGAAAGGUGGACAGACGGAUAGUCAGAGAUGGACGGGAAACUUAAGCUAAGCUGGCACUGAAGGGGAAAUUCAGCAGGCAGCAGAUCAAUGAGAGAUGACUAAUAAAGACUGUGAUUGCACUCAGCGUAGACGGGUGUGUGUGUGUGUGUGUGUGUGUGUGUGCGCGCUUCUAUCUGUUGGUGUUACCAAACAUGAUGCUGUACAGCUUGCAAGUAAGCACACAGAAAUAUGCUCACGGUGACAUCUCAACGUGUAUGAAUAUUUUUAUGUAAAGUUGUGGUUUGACAUGUGUGCAUGUGUUUGUGUAUAAUGCGACCUGACACAUGCAACUCUUAUUAAUAAAGAGUGAGUAGAUGCUUAUUGAGGACACUGACUGGUUACCACCAAACCCAUGAGGGAAACACACACAGCACACAAAUCUAUAUAUGCACAUGACCGUAACAUGCUCUACCAUACACACACACGUGCACGCACGCACACACACACAGUUAUACUACAUACACAACGGAAAGAGAGGUACUCGAGCGGUCCUCCCAGCUUCGGUGUCAGUUGAAUUAUUCAACACAAUUAAAGCUCACUAAAGCCCAUCUCUCCUCUUUCAAUUUUCUGUGUGUGUGUUCAUGUUCUCUCACUUGUUUUCAACCACACUCUCCUCCAUUUGUCCUCUAGUAAUCCUUUUCUGGCACUCUAGUCAAGAGUAGGGCUCCUUUGCAGUUUGCUUCCCAGAUAUUAACAUGACACAGAGUUAUGUAGUCAUGUAAACACCUACUUUAUAGCAAUACAUACUAGGAGUGUGCCAUAUUAUACCAUGUACCUUAAUACCAGAAUACAUUUUUUUGUGAGAUAAAUUUGUCAUAGUGCGGUAUUUAUACUGUAGGGACAAGAUGACGUAUGAGUUUCCUACUGCAUACACAACAACAAUGUCAGAGAGCAAGAGCAGCACAGUAGCACCAACUUGGUCCUCAAAUGAGGAACUAGUGCCAAAAAUGGGAGCCACCUCUGUGGUGUGGAGGUGGUUUGGCUAACACAGCUAAUAAGUUUUACCACCUAACACUAAAACACAUGGCUAAAUAUCAGCAGGCUUUGAGGGCACGUGACGAGGACGUGAAAGUAGCGACUGGUGAAGAAGCACUCACUGCACCCUGUACGAUUUAAAAAAAAAACUGACGGUGAAAGGACAUUUCCAAAGUGGUCACAUAUUAUUAGGCCAAAGACAUGAAACUAAUUAAGGCUGUCAGAAAGGAAGGCUUCAAACACUUUUAAUGUAUGGCAAAUCUGAAUUUAUUUUCAUAAUUUAACCACGUUUUAAUACCAGUAAUAAAAAUGCCAUUUUUUGGAAGCAGCAAUCACUAACAAUGUGUUGUUCCGCAAGUUUUUCCAUAUUGUCAUAAAUAUCGUUAUCACAAAGUGCCUUGAAAAGUCUUGAUGUCACCACUAACAAGUGCUCCAAAAAGUGUGAUGCAAAUUAAGAUUUAUGUUACCUCAAAAUCAUGAAGGUUUUAUUGAGGCAGAGUUAAAGUUGGUUUAAAUGAGAGAUAUAAUAUAUAGUGAGCAGGUGGAUGUGUGAAUUGGAACACCAAUAAGGUAAGCAAGCCCCCCCCCCCACACACACACACUUUCAUGGGUUUGUCUCACCAUGAAGGAAUGAAGUGAUUCAGAUCCAGAGAAAUCAAAAAUAUUCAUGCUUACAGAGCAUUAAAAUUCUGAAGUGCUGGAGACCGCCACCCACUCUGAUUUUAAUUCAUUUGUAGUCGGUAUAUCAUGAAUAUAUCAACAACUGCGUCUCUUUGUGAUGUUUUUGGUUUGUUUCCAGGAGAUGGUUUCAAGAACACACAUACACUGUAACUGGACUUCAUUGUGUAAUUUUUUUAACAUUUCUGCCCUUAUGUGUGUUUGAAGUUUUUUGUAUUUUUUGUUUUGAUAAUGCUAAUAAGGCAUUCAACCAACUUUCAUUUGUUUACUUGUGUGGCAACAUGUAAGACAUUAAAUGAUCAAACUGUUUCUUAAAGGAUAAGCUGAUAUCAGCCUUUGUUGAUGCAAAAUAAUUUGCACCAUCCUUAUGUAUGCAUAUUAACGACAUGCAUGGUUUGCUGCUUCCUACUGGAAUUUCAUUUUAAGAAAUCAAGAGACACAAAGGAUAGAAAAGGAGUGCACUUAGACAAAACUCUGAUGAUUUUACUCAGACGCUGGAUAAUUGGCAACAAGAGCAAAACAUCUUGAGUGCCACGGAAGACUUAUCCUGAUUUUAAUCUCUCUACUUAUCAGUGAAGUCUGGAUUAUAUUGCGUAGUUGUUGGGUGUAUCCCCCUGUAAAUCUGUCUGUUGGUAUGCACUCAUUUUCUGCAUUAGACACUGUGUGUAAAGUAAAGUCAAAAGUCAAAUUUAUUUCUAAAGCAUGUUUAAAAACAACCUUAGUUGACCAAAGUGCAGAACAAGGAUACAAUAUAAUUAUGCACACACUUACAGGGGUAUAUUGGCGUAAAUUUAAGUGAGGGUCAAACACACUGUCACACUGAGUUCAACAACCCCUCAAGAGAUGAAUGUUGCUGACUGCUUGCUUCUUUAGUUAUACCACCUUCAGCAACAAUGGCACAAUAGCAAUACACAGCAGUGUACAUCUCCAUGUGUAAACCUCAACCAAAAAGCCACAAAUAAUGCUCAGAACAGUACCUAACUUCAUCAACAGUACAAAUAGAGUCCCAGCCAUGGUAUCUUUUUAGCUCUGCCUGAUUUCUUUAGCAAAGAAAUCAAACACAACUCACCCACUCUCCUCCAGCAGCCACUUGUUUGUGGAGAAGCCCUGAUCAGUCAGUCACCGAGUGCAGCGGAAAACUUAUGAUUAUUACUUUAAGGAAAUGCAAUCAGACUGAGACACGCAGGCAGAAGAACUACUGCAUCUGAAGUGCACAUACAAGAUAUACAAGAACUCUGAUUGCAUUGCCAUGAAGUAAUAAUCAUGACUGUUCUUCGUUGAGCUACGAAACUCCACUGCACUUGGUGAUUGACUCGCCAGAGCUCUCCCACAAACUGCUGGAGGAGAGUGGAUGAGUUGUGUUUGGUCUCUUUGCUGAAGAAAUCAGAAAGAGGCAAGGACAGGACUGAUGUGGUGACACCGUUUCUUGUGUGUGUGUGUCAGGGGGUUUAUGUCAGAGUAUGAUAGGAGUGUGUUCGAGACCCCUUUUCCUGCAAAGUCCUCAGACAACGAAGCUAAUUGAUCUAUUCCAUUUGUGUUAUUAGGGUACAUGUGAUACCUGACAGCAUUGUGUAAAAACCAAAGGUCCCCCCAGAUCUUUAUUUUUUUUUCUGUACUCUGAUUGAUAUUGAUGCCAAAAAUGUUCUUCCGUGGGUUGACGUGGUUCAGAGGUCAUGAAUUGCAUUCUGUACAGGUGAGAGCAAAGGCCAGCUGUCAGACAAAAAUAUCCCAGGUUGGAGCUACAGGCGAACUGCGGUUAACGCCAACAUCGGAUUUGUGUUUAUUCCUUUUGACUCACCUUCAUCUUGAAUCUCUCCCCUCCACUCUCUCUCUCCACCUCUGUAUCUGUGGCAGUUUGAAAGGUCGAACUUUUGCCAGACUGUAGCGGCCGGCUGAGUGGCUGAAACACAAUCAAGCGUGCCAGACUAUUUCCCCAAACUCAGACACAUACACACACACACUCAAAAAUACACACACACAGGUCCUAGCUAUUUCUUGGUGUUGACACUCUGUCAUUUGUUACACAGACAUCUCUUCUCCUUCAGCGGCCUGGCUGGACCAGUGCCAAAGUUUGCUUUGUUGUGUCUGCUGGUUAAAUGGCAAAAAAGACAGGAGAAGAGAGGAUAGUCAGAGAGAAUAAUUGGAAAAGAUAAGUGGGGGGAAAAGAGAAGAGGCAACCAAUAAGUCAAGAUUAGAAAACUUCUCUGUAAUCUCUCAAGGAUUUUUUUUUUUUAUGAUAAUAACAGUCAAAAGUUUCUGAAUUGAAAGCAGAUAAAAGGUGCAAACUGUCAUUGUGAAAACUGCAGUCUUCUUCAGUAACUUGGCUUGAGCUCUAAGUGAACGUAAGCUGAUUUAACUGGACUUGCUGUCAGUGCUGUUGUACAAUAUGCUCAAGCAAAAGUAAAAAUAAGUUCAGGUAUUUGGUUUCAGAAAUGAACAGGAGGUGGACAUGAAAUUGAAUGCAAAUCUACAAUUUAAUUUGGGAGGAAACUGAAGUGCUUUAUAUCUUUUAUGAAGAGUUUUCCACAAGCUCCAUCAAGCAGAUUCUAAGUGUGAGGUACCUGAUCAGAGUUGGCUCAGUUUAAGGGCGUUUUCACACUUGGUCCCUUUUAAAAGAACCAAACUAAGGUGGUCUUAACACGAGUACCAAUUUGUAAGACACCAGUAAAAUAAAGUAUCCAUCAGGUGAUUGUGACACACGGAGAUGCCAAUUUGUCCAUUGAAAACGGGUCUGCAGGUGGAUAUCUGGGUAUUCGUCUUCAUGCCGUAGUUGGUAUAAAUAGAUAAGUCCGGAAAAGACAGUGACCUCAUAGCACCCCUCCUCCUCCCCGCCCCCCAACCCACGUUGUCACACACACAGCAACAACAACAAUGGCGGUAGCUGGGGUGAUUUUGUUCUUGUUCCAGCAACUACAAAUAUUGCUAUGACUUUUAUACCAACAUUUAGAACAGCAAAAACACCAGCUACGGCAACAACAGCAACAAGUGCUCAUGCAGAGACGCAGCAUGUUACGCGUGCACAACUUGUUGUCGUGGAAUCCACCUCAGAGCAGAACCAGAUGGGCAACACGAUUUUGCGUGGAUUUUGCAUUGUCAUGUAAAUGCACUAAGCCUAUGUACAAUACAACGUGUAAACAGUGAUGCAUGUUUUGGUGCUGACGCCAAGACAAUACGGGGCCGGCAUGUGUGAGGAGGGCCUAAGUCCUUUUUAAGUGGACCAAAAAGUGGACCAAAUGCAAAGGAACUCAGUUCUUUUUGGGUUCACAUUGGGAGUUUAUUUCAAAGUGGAUCAGGUUCUCUUUCUGGACCAGCUCAGUUUCUGUCCUCUUUCUGUUCACACUACGUCCUCUGGAGCAUUUUACCAUGAGUGCCAAGGUACUUCUGUCUGUCUUUUUUUUUUUUUUUUAACUUUAACUUUGCUCUGUACAGAUUGGUGGUUUGGUUAUAACUGUCUGCUUUUAUCCUCUGAAAAUUCUUGAAAAACUUGUGUGUUACGGAGGGUCGUAUUUAGUUGUGCUUUUUUGCUCUCGUCAUCCUAAAUUUCCAAAAGACAUUUAGUUUAAUCUCUCUAAACUACGCUGUGUCCAGGUCUCGUAGUGGAAUCUUGAGAGCCAUACUUUGUAUUUGGUGUUCUUCCUUUUCUCUACUGCCCUGCCGAAGUCAUGUGACCAAUCUACGGCAAGCAAAGAAGGUUAUAAUGCACUGCAAAAGGGUGAAGUGAACCCGGUGCACUUUGUGUUCACAAUUCACAAAUUAGGCGAACUGUACCGCUGACUUUUAAAUGAACCGUACUGAGACCUGGUCUCUGUAGGGGUCUGAGUAUGGUUGGAGUGUUCACAUACAGACAAAAAAUGCUGAGUAAGUGAUCUGUGUUCACUUAGAGGGCUGAAAGGGACCAAGUGUAAAAACACCCUAAGUGACUCUGGUCUGUUGAGGAAGGUUACAAUGAGUGUUGCAAUGCACUCAUGGCAGAGGUUACCUGACGAGAGGAAGUGCAACAAAGGUAAUAACAAAUAACUACCAUAUUAUUGUGCAUAUACAAUGGUUGAAUGGUAUUCUUCCAGUCUGACUUUUAUGAAAUAAAAGUCUAUAUAAAUAAAAUUUGAUUGAUUGAUGAUUGUUAGUUGGAAAAUAACAGAUUGGUUGAGUCUGAAGAUCCCUGCCAUAACAACACUGGGUUCUCAUGAGACAGAAGAUCUUAAAGUCAAGUCAAGACUGGAGGAAGGUCUUAAAAAUGGACAGGUUGGUUGUUUAGUAGUAUUUCCUCAGUAGUCACCACAUCAGCUCGUGUUUUCUUCAACAACAAAGAUAAAUAGAUGGUGAAAAAAGAGGAAAAAGUGGUAAGGUGACACCAAAGGAGGAAAACAAGUCUUUUUUGUUCAAAAAGGCUGAAAACAAUAAAAAUAUUAGGGAAAAAAAAAAAAAAACUGUGAUGCAUGGUGAAAAGGUUGGGGAGAAUCAAGAGUGAGGGAUAGAGAAAGAGGGAUGGAUGAAGUGAGGGGUAGGCGAAGUAAAUGAGGGAGGGAAAGGAUAGAGGACUGUACAGCGCAGAGACACAGUCCAUCAUGCACCCUGUCUUGCUGUGAAAAGAGGAAGGACAAAGUUUAACCAGGAUUUAUUGCCUGUGUCGAGUCACUGGAAUAAAGCUUGGGAUAUAGAUCAUUAUGGAGGACACAAAUAGACCUGCAUGCACCUGAGCUGGGGUCAGUUCACUUCCUUUUCUGAGCACCCCACCACUGAAGCUGGCCCUCUGUUAAACUGAGAGAGCAAGUGGGUGGGGCAUUGACAGAUGAAGUGUCAAUCAUUCAGUGAUCCUCCAUUCAUUAUGAGGACAGCUUUCCCUUUAACUGCUCAACGAGGACAUUGUUUGUUAAAUCAGAGUGGUCCUUAAAAAAACAAAACUCUGUUUUUCUCUUGGUAUAUUUUCUGACAAAAUAGAGGUACAGUGUGUCCAAUGACUUUUUCCUUUGAGUAGAUAUAGUGCAGUAGAGGAAUCCUUUGUCAUCCUGAAAUCUAAUCUGUUUGCUCCCUACAGGACUUUUGUUAUAUUUCAUUCCUUGGUUGUAUAUUUUUGCAUGUUUUUUCCCUCCAGUGUGCAGGCUUCUCGGAGUGUGAUGUGUUUUGUUUGUUGCUUUUCUCUCUUCGGUUUGUAAGAGGUAUGACCCCAGAUUUUGUAAUUACUGCUGGAUGAAGGUUUUAGCUGCUGCUGAUUUUUUCUUGUUAUUCUCAAAAUGCUCUACAACUGGAGAACAUCACUUAAAACAGCAAGACAGCUUCAACGUUGAUCAAUCAGUUGUGAAAUAAAAGGCUAUUAGAGCAAGGACAGUACAAAGUCUGCUCAGAAAAAGUUCCAAAUCUGCAUCAUCUGGGAGAAUUUGGGUUAAUAUUUGUGUCUGCUUACGUUGUUGGAGACAUUUAGAUUAAUCCACAUCCUGGCCAAAAGACAGCACAGAUUGUACAACAGGUUGUGAGACCGACUGGUCUUAGACGCAAUCCGUUCUGGCUCAUCAGACCUUUAACAACCAGCUGAAUCACAGGAAUUGAAAAAGGAAGUAAAAGAAGCAGUGGAUGUUCACACCAUUAUUUAAUCCAGUGUCUGAGAAUAUGAACAACACUUCUGUUUAAAAUUCAUUAGAGCAGUCUUGGGGAUGGUAAAGUAUUAACACAAACAUUAGCAGGAUUUGGGGAAUAAAUUAAGACUCAUCACUGAUUAAAAAUGUGGGGCUUUUGUUUGUGAUAGAUAUGUUUUUAUUUGAAUAUUUUUGGGGAGAAAACAUGAAGACAAAUGAUUAAGCUUUGAUAAUUCUGUGACAAAGGAUGACAUGAAUUCAAAUAUGACACUCUUUAAAGUUGGACAACAUUACAGAAAUUACAGUCAGCUCAGAGUUACCGAAUGCUGAAUAACAGAAAUCAAACCUGACUGUAUUCCCUGGUAUUUACAUUUUCAAGUAAGACAUUUUGACCUUUUUCAACAUGCUCAAUAAUUUAAGCAGUGUUGAGUCAGAUCUUAUAAAUCAAUGAUGUAAUAUUCAUGCUGUGUUUUCAUGGGUGCUAACAUGGGGGAUAAACAAGUCUGUACAACAUGUCUCUUUUAUGCAGGAGAUUUAGAGACAUUUUAACUUAUUCAGCAACCACUCAUGGGGAAAAAAAAUAUGUUCCCAAAACCCUCAAAUUAUUUGGGUGAUUUUGAGCUUGACCAAAGUUUUCCUUUUUUAGAUUUGUUAUUGGCUGAGAACAGAAUCUACGAACACUGAGGAGCACUCUGGAUCAAAUUUGAGUGCUGACAUGCCAGUGCAAAAUGAUGUCUAAUAUGUACAAGCUUAUCAGUGAAAAUACGUCAGCUACACUUUAAAUAGCAGCAUAUGUUAAUCAGAAAACGCAGGUCACAGCAGUGAUAACCUACAAUUACACAUGGCUAUUUAAAGGUACAGUGUGCAAAAAUGGGAACAUUUAGGAAUUAAUGAUGUAACGGUAACCGGUGUAAUGGUAAAUUGUGUUAAAAAUGUUGAUGAUAAUGAUUACUGUUUGCGUUUGGAUCACUGCGGUGUUAAAACCUUGUCAGUGUUUCCCCAGGACUGGAAUCUUUCUGUGGCGAUGUGUGGUUUGGGGCUGGAGGGGGCUUUGUGUGUGUGUGUGUGUGUGUGUGUGUGUGUGUGUGUGUGUGUGUGUGUGUGUGUGUGUGUGUGUGUGUGUGUGUGUGUGUGUGUGUUGUUGUGCGAAUCAACGGGUAAUCAACCAGCAGUGAGAUUGCUGAAGAUCUCCCCACGCUAGUAAAUAGCUGUGCGAUCACCAACAGUAACUUGUUAAGUAAUUAGCUGUGUGGUCACCUAUGAUACCUCACUAAUGCUAAUACUCGGUGCGCGCUCCACAGUGCACUGCACAUAUAUAGCAAUACCAUACAGUCUGUGAUGUAUACUGAUACAUAUGAGUCCCGGGUAGCACCAUAUAACAAAAAAAAAAAAACAUUUUUAAGAUGUGGUGGCUUUUAUUUAGCCGUUGCAAUGUGCCAUGGUCAAUUGUAUGUUGGGGAAACCCAGCAUGUGUUUAAUUAUCCCAGCUUCAUCUGAGUCUCCUUAGGUAUCUGCGCAGGUGCACUGUGCAGCCUACAGUUUUUAUUUAAACUUUCUACUAAGUUUGAAAUGGAAUCAUGACGAAAGGAGGAGAUGACAGCACCCAAGACAUCGACAAAUGUUGAGGGACGCUUAGUUGAAGACAGUAAUCCUGACUGUAGAACAUGCAAAAGAAAAGUUGCUGUUAAAGGUAGCAACAUAUUCGGGUUCAGGGAGAGUGCAGUGAUCUGUUUGUCUAACUUAUUGACUCGUCAGUAAUAUAAACAGAACCUUGAAUGCAGCACCUGUCGCCAUGGAGAAUACAUCUAGCAGCUAAUAUUGUAAGAUAUAAACACAUGAAGUUAACCUUUAUUUGUGAAGAAAUGGUGAAACAAAGCAUUGUUUAGCGCUAGUUAAAAGCAUCAAAAAUGCCACAAUCAACGUGAUUAUUUUGGUCACAAUAACAGUGAGGUAAAAUUUUCAUACCAUUACAUCCCUAUGAGGAAUAUUUAUCCAUCAGAUUCCAGGUUGGAAUGCUCCCUCUCAACCCUCCCAUCCGUAAGGCCUUCAUGGAAAGAGGCUCCAGUGAUGCUGCAUAAUAUAUUUGAACUGUCAUUUAAUUAUAUUUUACAACAAAAACUUUAUCAGCAUAAAUCUUUUUUAUGUGCAACAACUCUCUUCCAACCAAUACAUUUUCAGCAGCCACCCACAAGAUAUAAAAAUGUAAUGCAAAGGGUGUAUAGGUGAAAAGGUUGAACACUCUGUGCUACUGUAGAAAUGUGGCAUUGCAAGGUGGUGUCCUCUGUUGAAGGGGACCUGUUUCUAUGUCAAUAUACAGGGCUCAUCCUGGCUUAAUAAAACAAAAUAACUUUAAUGUUCUGGUAAAUAUACACUUAUUUAAACAUACUCUAUCAUACUACAUCCCAUUUCUACCAAGUCUGUUCUGCGAAAUGCUUAAGAACAUGUGACAAAUCUAUCACAUAUUCGCUAGUUUUACACCUGCAGUAUUUGGAGGCAUUGUCAUGUCAAAUCACAUGAAUUAUGAAAAGUGGUUAAACUAUAAUUGGCAUCCCUUUACCAUCCCUGACAAAGUCCACCCUGUAGUGUUGUGUCGUUCAUAAAUGAUUUGUUCAAAAGAACGAAACUGCUGAGUGAACGACAUGAAUGGAAUCACUCAAAGACCUGAUUUGUUUCUUUCUCAGUUGAGUUGGGCUCAGCCGCGAUCCUUGCUUGCCAGUCAGGAGUGGGCACAGAGGCAGCCAGAGAGCAAGCGGGUGGGCAGAGUCUCGUGAUUUGCUCACAGUGAAUGAACGACAUGUAUCAGUCAGACUGUGAACGAAGCGACUGACUUCUGAAUGACUUGAGGCAGGCAGAGGAGGGAGGGGCAUAGCACCGUUCACUGCCAAGCGAACACCCAAGCACCAAGCAAAUAGCAUGCUAUUUGAUAACUUUGAAAGUAUCAGGAUCCCUGCCACAGCUGCAAUGUUUAUUUAUUUUUAAUCUUUCCACCUUUCUGCAAUAUAAAAGAAUGAUGACUUGUGCUUGUUUAGUGGGCGUGCUGCUUGCUGCUGCUAUGUUGUUUCACUCGCAUUGCGAUGCAAACAUCAGCGGCACACAGAGAGUUGAGUUUUUCAGGGCAGGGGAGUGAUUCUUCUUUUACAACUUGGCGAAUGAACGACAUGUGU